AUGCAGGGUGCGGUGGCGGAGAUGGAAAAGCGGCCGCUUCAGCCGUGUUACCGGGUCGUGGAUCAUGGGUCGCGGGAAGUUCCCGGGCGGAGCGGCUUUGGUUCUCUUUUUUUUUUAAAACAAUUUUCUAGGCCAAAUUACUUAAAUGCCCUUGUUUUAAAACAGUUCUUGUUUUCUAUCUCCCUCAUUCAUUGUGUUCUAUCGUGCCCUAAUUCCUCAACUCUCAUUCAUUGUGUUCUAUCGUGCCCUAAUUCCUCAACUCUCCUACGAUUCUGCUGCCAUCUCCCUGCAACUCUCCUUCUUCGGUUCUUCCUCCAUCUCCUUCUGCCAUCUCAGGUGAUUUCUUCUAAUUCUUCAACU